AAUGUUCUUCGGGGUCGGGUGAAAUUCCCAAUCGGCGGUGAUGAAUGAAGUAAUUCAAAGUCCGUGAGCGCAAGCUGAUUUGGUGCAAAUCCAAAACCGACAGUUAUAGUCUGGAUGGGAGAAGAACAAU
rnacentral:ncRNA from 2 species